GAUGAACGCUGGCGGCGUGCUUAACACAUGCAAGUCGAACGAUGAAGCCCAGCUUGCUGUGUGGAUUAGUUGCGAACGGGUGAGUAACACGUGAGUAACCUGCCCUUAACUCUGGGAUAAGCCAGGGAAACUGGGUCUAAUACCGGAUAGGAGCGCCUACCGCAUGGUUGGUUUUGGAAAGAUUUAUCGGUUUUGGAUGGACUCGCGUCCUAUCAGCUUGUUGGUAAGGUAAUGGCUCACCAAGGCGACGACGGGUAGACGGCCUGAGAGGGUGAACAGCCACCAUGGGACUGCGACACGGCGCAGUCUCCUAUGGGCGGCAGUAGUGGGGAAUAUUACAGAAUAGGCGAGCGCCUGAUGUAGAGGUGCUGCGUGAGGGAUGCCCGCUUUCGGGUUGUAAACAACUUUCAGUAGGGAAGAAGAGAACGUGACGGUACCUGAAGAAGAAGCACCGGCUAACUACGUG
rnacentral:rRNA from 1 species